AAAGUGGAGCCGUCUUUUCUGCACAGAGUGUGCACUAUCAUCGUAACAGCAGAGACGGAGAGCAAGAUGUGAGGAGGUUAAAAGUCAGGGUCAGAAGUUCAGGUUGCUCUGACCCUCAAAUCAAUUUCAAGCACUGUUUGUGACAUUUUCCUGUGUUCCCUCGCUUGAUGUUAGUCUUUGCAAUGAACCACCGAAUCAGACUUCAGGGCUCAUGGGACUUUGGGGUUUCAGUAGGGUCAGGUCAAUUUCUACCUACCAGUGUACUGUCACCUAUGAGGCAAACCAUUAUCUAGGCGUUUGAGAACCUCAAAGUUUUGAAGCUCUGAGGGGAAAGAGAGAGGAUGAAGCGCUGGGGCCCCUGUGUCUUUGGGGCCUGACAUAGCUCAACCUGUGGCUUCAGGGGGACCGUGUGCAGCCAGGUCACAGUGGUACCGGAAAGGGAUCCUGAUCCAGACCCCAAGAGAGGGUUCUUGGAUCUCGUGCAAGAAAAAAUUCAGGCUGAUGGCACUAAGGCUGAACCCAGAAGCUGCAGCAGUGGACGGAUGAUGAUCUGAAGAAAUGAGAUCCCUGAUGGGCUUGGAAGUCAUGGUUCCUGUAACCAUGAUGUCACACCCUCGUCCUGACACCGAGAUGGGCUGGACACAUCUGUCACCCAGGGCAAACAAAAUGCUUGGUCUGCAUCUUUCAGAAGAAAACUAAAAAUCAAGUAAUUUCUUAGAAGUUUGCUUGCGUGUGGCUUAAGUCUUCUUCUCCUGUUGAGGAAGGUGUUGAGUUUGACCAUGACAGCCCCACCCAGUCCUUGGCUCAUCUCACCCAUCAAAGAGGAUCUGGAGAUUCAGAGCUAUGCCGUGGAAGACCUUGUCAGAGCACCAGGCCAUACUGUGCUGCAGGUGGGGUUCAGGUGCCCAGUGACAACCACCGGGGCCGCUCAUCCCUAAACGUCUGUUGAACUUAAAGUUCUACUCAAGACUUUCUACAUUAAAUACCCUUUCAUACAGCAAAAUCAGCCAUGUUCUGAGAUGUGAAACUGCAGCACAAAGUUACUGUGGUCUCCACCUAUAGAAAUGGAAUGUUACUUCAUAAAGCCCCAGGCCAAAAAAGAAACCCCAAAACUCUGAAACGACACCCUUAAAUUUAACCUGAACAUCUGGCCAGCCUCCUCCAUCAUUGAAACUUCUCCUGAGUGUUGGCAUGGAUCCUAUGUUUCUCCAGCCAGGGAGCUUUGCUCCCCAUUCUUGAUGGACCCACUGAGUCCCAAUUUUCUACAUUUUACUUGGGUCAUUCCACCACUUUGGGAUGCUUUUCCUACUCUGUUGUACUUUAAAAAUGUUUCUUCUUUCCUAUUCUCAGCUUCACGCAUUUGUCUUCUUUCUCAAUUCAACUUGCUUAGUUCUCGCUACAUCAAUUCCUAGAGCCAUCCAUCUGCACUUCUGAAUCAUUUAAGUUUUGUUUGGCUACAAGUAAUGGAAACCCACUCUGAGUAACUCAAGCAAGAACUGGAAUUUAUUGGAAGGACAGUGGGAUAUAUCAUAAGAUCCAAAAAGAAUUGAACAAAUAAAAUUUCAGAGGGAAGAAAAAGGGCAGCUCCAGUGACUUCAGCAACAAGACAACAUAAGUCUUUCUAGAGCAUAGCUACUAAUAUUAUUCAGCUGCAAGAGCCCCUCCCCAUGAGAAACUUGAUUGAAAAUUCUGAUUUCCCACAGAGAAGAAUCUGAUCGACUCAGUUUAGCUUUGGUUGCCCAACUGCUCAAUCUUGCAUGAAUUAUUUCCAGCCAAGGGGACAAGGUGUAUUAUAGGGACACACCUGCUUUCUCCAAAGAAAAGAUCUGGGCAUUUCCUGAUCAUUUCCCUGAGAAGGAGGAAUCAUUGUGAGCCAAGAAGAUACCUCAAGUAUAAUGAGCUCAGUUACACUUUUUUGAUAUCUGAGUAUUUGGUAUGUAGUGUGCAUUUUAAAAAACAUGUCUCUCUCCAGGACAAUGUUAACCUCUUCCACGGUGGAGUGGGGCUAUGUGAUUUUGUGCUUAAUUUACCUAGCUGGUGGGCCUCCAGUAGAGGCUGUAGUCGAGCCAGCUGAUACCACAUCAGUUCUCCAAAGGAACAAAAGCUGCCCUUCCUUCCUUAUUGCAAAGUUUGACAAAAAGCAAAACGUGAAGAAUAAAAGCGACUUGCAUUGUCUAACAUCUACCGCAGUGUUUGAGCUGCAGCUGCUCCUCCUCCCCUGAUUGUUUUCAAAUAUUUCUUCAAAAAAGGCAUUAAAGAAAAACACAAGAUAUUGCACAGGGAACCAAAACAAAUCACAAUCUUCAAGGACAAAGCAUUGCAAAAUGGCUUACAUCCCCAAAUGGGAACAGAUAUGGUUGGAAAUUAAAACAAUCUUUUUUAUUUUAAGCGGAAAUGCUAGCAGAUGCCACAAGAAACAUAUGGAACUCGCCACAGACAAAUAGGGAAUGCUUUCUGCGUGUGGAAGUAGAGCAAAGGGAGUGACCACCUCUGACUGUCAGGGGGAACCAUCAGCUCGAACUGUUUGCUAUGGCAGGAGGGAGUUUGCAGAGUCCGGAGUCCUGCCCUCAUGAAAAAGCUUUAACGGUCUUGACUGAGUAAUUUAAGUCAUUCUUGUCAGGGAGUUUCAGAACACUAUGCACAAUUAUAUUUAUUUCACAAUGCAUUGAUUCCAGAUAUCUUUUUAAAUGUGCUUACCUCUGUGUGCGUUGUUACCUGUUCCCUCUUUGAAUCUCUGAAUGAAACAAAAUAAAUAGGAAAAAAUGGAGACAUAGAAGCAUUGUCCACAAGGCAUCUCCCACUCUAGAGGUCUCCCAGCCCCGUGCUAGCUUGUUAAUUUAUUAUCGCUUGUCUGUCAAACAAGGAAGAUAUAAUUUGCCACACAACAUGUUUUCCUAAAGCAAUGUUUUUGUACAAUUUCCUGAUUUCCAAAAAUAUGACCAAUGAUAUUCUGGUUGAAAAAAAAAA
rnacentral:lncRNA from 1 species